CAAACUGAGCAACAGAAAAGAACAAGAGGACCAGAAACAUUCAAAUAUUUACCCUUUGAGAAGUUAUCCUGGUACUCAUCUACAAGCAGAUGAACUUUUUCUUCAAAUAAAACCUGACACUGGAGCCCCAACAUGUAAAACAGAAACAGAGUUGGAGCUUCCUGCCCUGGAAGCUGAAGAAAGAGGCUCGUGUUAGUUCCCAUUGUCACCCCAGAGAACUACAGCCUUCACUCUGUACACAGAUCUGGAGAUCUGUGAAGAACAGCUUUGCUAGCUUCGUCUGGUGGAAUACUUUGGCAGAUUUCUGUAUGCUGAACCAUCCUGCAUCUUUGGAACGAAGCCUAUUUGAUCAAGUGAGCAUGAUGACAUCAUGUGCUGACCCAACUGGACAGAUAGUGAAACUGAGAGGCAGGGCACUUAAGGGCUACUUAAUGAUGGUAAGCUAAGAGCAACCUGCCAGUGACUCACAGAAGGAGAAGAAUCAGAAAAAGAAAAACUAGACUCUGUCUCAAACACAGGCAAGAGGGAUGGCUUUGAAAACCCAAGAAACUGGUAAAGAAGAGCUAAACACCUCAGGUGAAAAGCUGAUGGUAUGCUGAUGGUAAAAAAGCCAAGCUGAAUGCUGUUCUAGCUACACAGACAAAGAGCUGAAAGAAGACACAAAACUUAUCCCAGAGCUGAGCCAGGUAUCCCCAAGAACAGAUGACAAACCCACAGUCUUCACAAGCCACCAACUCAGUAUUGGUGAAACUGAUUCCUCCAACAACAGAGGAUAGGAGUCCUAUUUGCCAUCUGAAAUGACUCAGUGGCCAGGCGCCAUCUUGAGAGCGAAGCUAUUGCUUAAAACUGAAUUCCUUGGGACACUGGGAACAGGGAACAGUCACAGGCAGAGACACUGAACUGGCCCUUCCAUAACCUCAAAUAAGAGAUGGCCCUAGGGAGCAGCUGUGGAGAGUAGGGAGGCUGGACAUUGACAAGCCAAAAGGAGCAAGAGCCUCAGCCACUGAAAUACCCCACCCUCACUGGCCAGGAACCGACAGAAUCCACUGCUAACUGCCCUGGCAUUUGAUGACCUGUACCUGAGGUGAUCAAGUGGAGCCACCUAGUUCCACAUUGUAGAGAUCCAGAACGCAUGCUCCAGGAGAAUGCUUGAAAUUGCCAGAUCCCUUUGUGCCUCCAGCUGGGUGAUUGAUACUUGGGGAUCUGGAAAGUUCUAAGGUGGUCCUCUCUCUGCCUGUGCAGAUCUCAGUGUCAUGGUUGCUUCUGUGCACUCCCAAUGCACUCAGAAAAUGUGUCCCUAUUAAAAUAUUACCCAGCCCAGGAAGUGUGAAAUGGGUAAGUGAAGAUGGAGAAACACUACCCACAACACUGAAAAAAAAAAAAAAAAAAAAAAAAGGUUAAAUGUGGCCAGAAGAGGAGCCUGGUAUACAAGGAAGAGACACUACAAUGCCAAGCCAGCUGUGGUGAACAUCUGUCCUAUACAGGCUCAGCAUCAACAUAGAUCACUAGAAUAUAAAGAAAGAAAAGCCAGAACUUCUCAUUGAACCAUUGAAAAGCAUUUAGAAAAGGCAGUAAUUGUUUCAAAGCAGCAUAGACAGCUGGAGCUGGCUAAGGUACCCUACUGUUCGGCCUGCAUGAAGGCAGAGACAGCAUUUGUGAAUGACAACUAAGGCACAAUUGGGAAGGGCAACCCCAAAGGAGCAAAUGGCAAAGAUAAAUCAGUUGAGGCCCACAAGGUCAUGCAAACCUGAAGAUAGUGGCAAGAUUUCCCUUUGAAACCCUCACUAUUAGUGCCUGUCUAAGAGUAUAAUGGAACUCCCCCGUGGAGCCAAGAGCAGCAUCACAUCUGGGCAUUGAGUCUUAUUUCUCAGGGCCAAAAUUGUUGGGGGGAAAGCUACUAAGGACCUUGUUAAGUUGGUGAUUUAGGCAAUCUGUGGAUGUCACUUCAUUACUCCAUGACCUGAUGGACUUGCAAGUACUGUACAACGGAAGGUCUCCUAAGCAGCUGGGCUGAUGCUUUACAUUUGGAAGCAGAACAUCAAUAAAGGUUCUUGAUAGAAACCUCAUUUGACAUGUUUCAUUGUUGAAUGUUGCUCUUUAGAGAUGAGAGGAAGCAAUCUAUCUGCCCUUCGUGGCCAUGUCUAGCUCGUCACAGAAGGAGUGAUAAAGCUCCCUUCCAGUGUUAGAAGGAGCAAAAUCUUCGAUGGGAUGACCAAGAAGGAAAAUCUCUACUGAAGACUGUGUCCAAGCAGCAUCCAGGCCUCCAUCUUCUAAUGCGCAAAAUGAAAAGGCAGGCUUUCUCAACAGUUUGCCAACUUGGUCCUUGAACACUUUCCUUUCCACAGAGGCCCCCCGGGUGUCAGAAGGAAAUGGGUGAUGUGUACCCCCAAUCUACUCAUCCUCAUCCACAUUGUAACAGCACUACACACAGGAGAGUUGUUUGUGUCGGCUCUGCAUACAGUCCUUUAAACCGGGCUCUAAAGAAAAUAUUCCAAUUUCUAAUAAUAAACAUUAAAGGUCAAAUUUGAAAGCCA